ACGAGAUCUGCACCAGUUCCUGUAAGAUUUAUACAGGAACUGGAUGUGUGGUUUUGGAUUUAUGCGUUUAACGUCUCUACAGCAAUGUUAUUUCACAGAGUUCUGGAGCUGCACCUCGAUCGCACCAUACCUCUAUCUUGAAACACAGUUGUGGUAUAUAGAUUUAGACAAUCGGUCAUCUACAAGAUGCCUCUGCACAAGUCAGAUAUAACUGUGAACAAAACCCUUAGUUCAAGUGACGUAUCCCACUCACAUCAGAUACAGAGGUAUUUAUGACAGUUAAAGAAGCUUUGAAAUCAGUGUGGAUGUGGAUAUUAAAACUACUCGGAAGGAUGAGGAAAGGAGCCCUUUAAAAGAUCAUGCAUUUAUGAAAGAAGACAGCAUCAGCACUGCCUUAAGAUUCCAGUUGAGACCUUUAUUUGUGUACUAACAGUCAGAAGAUUAAAAAAGGACAAUAGCAGAAUGAAACACAUGCUAGCAGACACUGAUGUAAUUGAAUCCAGAAUAUGGUGAUCAAUUUUGAAUGAUUUUAUCCUCUGGUUGAAAUGAUAUUGAUCAAUUUAAAAAGUGGUUGACAAUGAAUUCUAAAUAUAUGUAUUUUGUUUACAUGGCUUAUUAACUCUGUAAAGUUUGCAAUGUUUUGGGGUUUUUUGCCCUCUCAUUGAAUGUACAUGUAUUGUAAUAGCUGUUACCUAGUACAUGGUUUUUAGUACCCUGCUACCAUAUAUGGAUAGUGAAGGGUGUUACUUGAUUAAUCUCAGGAAGUUUAUUUAUUGUUCCUGUUGUCUAUUUUUUCAUAUCGUUACUAUUCUUCAUUUGCUUCUUGUUAAUAGAAAACAUCAUGUGAUAUUUUUAUUUUUCAUUAAUGCACCUUAAUUAACUACUGUGACAGUCAAAAAAAUCAAAAACUUUCAUAAGAAGGAGUGGCACAUUUUAAUUCUGGAUUUUAAAUCUAUUUGCCUGAUUUAGUACUGUAUGUCUUUACCAUCAGCAAACAUAAUUAAAAUAAUUUUACAAGUGCAUAAGCAAUAUGAGGUAUUUUUAAAGAAUUUUACUACGAUUUUAAAAUAUGGAAUUAUCAUUAAUUUGCAUGUAGCUUAAACUUUUAUGA